CCAGGUUAGUGGCGAACGGGUGAGUAAUAUAUCGGAACAUAUCCGGAAGAUGGGGGAUAACGUAGCGAAAGUUACGCUAAUACCGCAUAUGCCCUGAGGGGGAAAGGGGGGGAUCGCAAGACCUCUCGCUUUCGGAGUGGCCGAUACCGGAUUAGCUAGAUGGUGAGGUAAAGGCUCACCAUGGCGACGAUCCGUAGCGGGUCUGAGAGGACGACCCGCCACACUGGAACUGAGACACGGUCCAGACUCCUACGGGAGGCAGCAGUGGGGAAUUUUGGACAAUGGGCGCAAGCCUGAUCCAGCCAUACCGCGUGAGUGAAGAAGGCCUUCGGGUUGUAAAGCUCUUUCAGCCGGAAAGAAAUUGCUUCUAUUAAUACUAGGAGUAGAUGACGGUACCGGAAGAAGAAGCACCGGCUAACUACGUGCCAGCAGCCGCGGUAAUACGUAGGGUGCGAGCGUUAAUCGGAAUUACUGGGCGUAAAGCGUGCGCAGGCGGUUUGGUAAGACAGAUGUGAAACCCCCGGGCUUAACCUGGGAACUGCAUUUGUGACUGCCAGACUAGAGUGUAGCCAGAGGGGGGUAGAAUUCCACGUGUAGCAGUGAAAUGCGUAGAGAUGUGGAGGAAUACCGAUGGCGAAGGCAGCCCCCUGGGCUAACACUGACGCUCAUGCCGAAAGCGUGGGGAGCAAACAGGAUUAGAUACCCUGGUAGUCCACGCCCUAAACGAUGUCAACUAGGUGUUGGGGAAGGAGACUUCUUUAGUACCGCAGCUAACGCGUGAAGUUGACCGCCUGGGGAGUACGGUCGCAAGAUUAAAACUCAAAGGAAUUGACGGGGACCCGCACAAGCGGUGGAUUAUGUGGAUUAAUUCGAUGCAACGCGAAAAACCUUACCUACCCUUGACAUGUCAGGAAGAUUGCAGAGAUGUGAUUGUGCCCGAAAGGGAACCUGAACACAGGUGCUGCAUGGCUGUCGUCAGCUCGUGUCGUGAGAUGUUGGGUUAAGUCCCGCAACGAGCGCAACCCUUGUCAUUAAUUGCCAUCAUUUAUGUUGGGCACUUUAAUGAGACUGCCGGUGAUAAACCGGAGGAAGGUGGGGAUGACGUCAAGUCCUCAUGGCCCUUAUGGGUAGGGCUUCACACGUAAUACAAUGGUCGGUACAGAGGGUUGCUCAACCCGCGAGGGGGAGCUAUAUCUCAGAAAGCCGAUCGUAGUCCGGACUCGGAGUCUGCAUGCUCGAGCUCC
rnacentral:rRNA from 1 species